rnacentral:rRNA from 1 species
UACGGAGGGUGCGAGCGUUGUCCGGAUUUAUUGGGCGUAAAGAGCUCGUAGGUGGCGGGUCACGUCGGGUGUGAAAGCCCGGAGCUCAACUCCGGAACUGCCAUUGAAACUGUUUAGCUUGAGGACGAGAGAGGUGAGUGGAAUUCCCAGUGUAGAGGUGAAAUUCGUAGAUAUUGGGAAGAACACCGGUGGCGAAGGCGGCUCACUGGCUCGUAUCUGACGCUCAGGCGCGACAGCGUGGGGAUCAAACAGG